UAGCGGAACUCCUACGGGAGGCAGCAGUGAGGAAUAUUGGACAAUGGGCGCAAGCCUGAUCCAGCCAUGCCGCGUGCAGGAUGACGGUCCUAUGGAUUGUAAACUGCUUUUGUACGAGAAGAAACACUGCUUCGUGAAGCAGCUUGACGGUAUCGUAAGAAUAAGGAUCGGCUAACUCCGUGCCAGCAGCCGCGGUAAUACGGAGGAUCCAAGCGUUAUCCGGAAUCAUUGGGUUUAAAGGGUCCGUAGGCGGUUUAGUAAGUCAGUGGUGAAAGCCCAUCGCUCAACGGUGGAACGGCCAUUGAUACUGCUGAACUUGAAUUAUUAGGAAGUAACUAGAAUAUGUAGUGUAGCGGUGAAAUGCUUAGAGAUUACAUGGAAUACCAAUUGCGAAGGCAGGUUACUACUAAUUGAUUGACGCUGAUGGACGAAAGCGUGGGGAGCGAACAGGAUUAGAAACCCUAGUAGUCCACUUAUG
rnacentral:rRNA from 1 species